rnacentral:rRNA from 1 species
UACGGAGGAGGCAAGCGUUAUCCGGAAUUAUUGGGCGUAAAGCGUCCGCAGGUGGCGAUUCAAGUCUGCGGUCAAAGACCGGGGCUUAACCCCAGAAAGGCAGUGGAAACUGAAGCGCUAGAGUGCAGUAGGGGUAGAGGGAAUUCCCGGUGUAGCGGUGAAAUGCGUAGAGAUCGGGAAGAACAUCGGUGGCGAAAGCGCUCUGCUGGACUGCAACUGACACUCAGGGACGAAAGCUAGGGGAGCGAAUGGG